rnacentral:tRNA from 1 species
CGGGGUGUGGCGCAGCCAGGCUAGCGCGCCGCGUUUGGGACGCGGAGGUCGGAGGUUCGAGUCCUCUCACCCCGACCA